CAAUAGCGUAUAUUAAAGUUGUUGCAGUUAAAAAGCUCGUAGUUGAACCUUGGGCCUGGCUGGCCGGUCUGCCUCACCGCAUGCACUGGUCCGGCCGGGCCUUUCCCUCUGGGGAUCCGCAUGCCCUUCACUGGGUGUGUCGGGGAACCAGGACUUUUACUGUGAAAAAAUUAGAGUGUUCAAAGCAGGCCUAUGCUCGAAUACAUUAGCAUGGAAUAAUAGAAUAGGACGUUGCGGUUCUAUUUUGUUGGUUUCUAGGACCGCCGUAAUGAUUAAUAGGGACAGUCGGGGGCGUCAGUAUUCAAUCGUCAGAGGUGAAAUUCUUGGAUCGAUUGAAGACUAACUACUGCGAANGNAUUCGCNAAGGAUGUUUNCAUUA
rnacentral:rRNA from 1 species